AUUAAGCUUGCAAGACAUGGUCUUCCAUAAAAAUAGGAAUAUUGGUUAACUAACUUAACCAACAAGACUACUUUGGCUCCAAGUAAAUCUUAGAGGCCAUGUCCACAUCCCACGUUCUCAGCCAUGAUUUUCUUGCCCACCAACCAUAAUGUACAUCUAUAAAUAUGGGCAAAGCAUACUACGUUCGGUACCGGUCCAUUCAUGAAGAAACACAAGUGUUGAGUAACAGGAUUUCGAAGCUAGAUUGUUCCAACAUAUAUCUCGAUAUCUAGUCAAUCACACCUUGAGCGGGAGACUAGUGUGUCUAGCAUACCUUGAGUGAGAGACUCAUAUGUUAGGGCUAGUAAGUAACUUAGUAGGUUUGUAUUUUUGUGAUUCAUAGAUUAGCUUUAUUAAAAGUCUAACAUGACUUUGCCCGAUCAACAAAAAAAAAAAAAAAGCUUUAUUAAAAGUCUUGUUGUCGCUAGCAUCGUUGAUAUGAUUAGAAGUGAUUUCAUUUCUUAUCAAUACCAGGGAUUCUAUUGAGUGAAUUCAUGUACCUUCAUUGUAAAAUAAAUUUUUAUAGUGAACACACAAC
rnacentral:lncRNA from 1 species